GAUGAACGCUGGCGGCGUGCUUAACACAUGCAAGUCGAACGAAGCACUUUUGAUUGAUUUCCUCGGAAUGAUUUCACUUGUGACUGAGUGGCGGACGGGUGAGUAACGCGUGGGUAACCUGCCUCAUACAGGGGGAUAACAGUUAGAAAUGACUGCUAAUACCGCAUAAGCGCACGGUAUCGCAUGAUACAGUGUGAAAAACUCCGGUGGUAUGAGAUGGACCCGCGUCUGAUUAGCUAGUUGGUGAGGUAACGGCUCACCAAGGCGACGAUCAGUAUCCGACCUGAGAGGGUGACCGGCCACAUUGGGACUGAGACACGGCCCAAACUCCUACGGGAGGCAGCAGUGGGGAAUAUUGCACAAUGGGCGAAAGCCUGAUGCAGCGACGCCGCGUGAAUGAAGAAGUAUUUCGGUAUGUAAAGUUCUAUCAGCAGGGAAGAUAAUGACCAAAUUGACUGUACCUGACUAAGAAGCCCCGGCUAACUACGUGCCAGCAGCCGCAGUAA
rnacentral:rRNA from 1 species